rnacentral:tRNA from 1 species
GGUUAAUGCUCAGUGGUAGAGCUCUUGCCUAGCAUGCGUGGGGCACUGGGUUCGAUCCUCAGCACCA